rnacentral:rRNA from 1 species
GAUGAACGCUAGCGGCAGGCCUAAUACAUGCAAGUCGAACGGUAGAUCGGGUAGCAAUACUUGAUUGAGAGUGACGUAAGGGUGCGUAACACGUAUGCAAUCUACCCUCAACAGGAGUAUAGCUCGGGGAAACUCGGAUUAACACUCCAUAACAUUACGAUGUGGCAUCACAUUGUGAUUAAAACUCCGGUGGUUGAGGAUGAGCAUGCGUCUGAUUAGUUAGUUGGAGGUGUAACGGACCCCCAAGACGAUGAUCAGUAGGGGAACUGAGAGGUUGAUCCCCCACACUGGCACUGAGAUACGGGCCAGACUCCUACGGGAGGCAGCAGUAGGGAAUAUUGGUCAAUGGGUGAGAGCCUGAACCAGCCAUGCCGCGUGCAGGAUGACGGCCCUAUGGGUUGUAAACUGCUUUUUANAUGGGAAGAAACACUCCGACGUGUCGGAGCUUGACGGUACCAUACGAAUAAGGAUCGGCUAACUCCGUG